AAACACUUUGCUCAAUUACGAUUUGAGAUGGAGCAAAAUGGAGAAGAAACUGAUAAGAUGAAUGUGUGGAAAAAAGCACGAGACCAGUCAAAACCAGAAGUAGUUGAAGUCAUUGAAGAAUAUGAAAAACGACUUUUAUUAGAACCUGAGGACCAAAGGAACCUUUAGGUUGUCAAAGACCGUAUAUUUCAUGAAUUGAUUGGAGAGGAUGGCCAUGGAUAUUGUCGCACCUAUGGAUCUGCCGUGCCUAGAAGAUUUGUCUACCCACAUGCACCAAAUUCCUCUGAAACCACUGAUGAUAUAAUACAGAAAGUAACUGAAUCUGUGGCAAAAAAGUUUCAGGAUCAGCUUAAUAUGCUACAAGCUCGAAUUGAUUUUUUGGAGAACAAAGAGAAGAGAGGCAUAGAUCAA